AGGCUGUGUUAAGUUCCGCUGUGGAGCAGGGGGACUCGGGUCUGUAUGGAGACCUUCUUUUUCACAUCCUGUUCCGUUAAGGUUGGUCACGGGAGAGUGACUAUAGUUCCCUGCGCGCCACACAGGAGGCCCUUGGUGUGUAGCCACUCUCGGCGUAACAGUGCGCCCCUGCCCUCCCGAGCGCUUGGCAACCACGAACCUGUUCUCUAGGCCUGUGAGCCGAUGCCUGCUUCGAGCUAUGUGGUGGCAUGUUUUGCAUGCCACACGUAUCAGUGGUGUCACAUGGCAUUUGUCUUUCUCUAACCUUGCUUAACAUGAUCAUCUCUGUUGGCAUUCAUGCUGCGGCAGGUGGCACAGUUUACCCUUUUUUAUGGCUGGGAAAUAGCUCAAUGCCUAUCUGUGCUGCAUCUUUAUCCAUUCCCCUCUCAUGAACAGUUAGGUUGCUUCAUGCCUUGGCUAUUGUGAACUGUGCUGUUAUGAACAUGGGGGUGUGUGUAUCUUUUCAAAUUAGUCUUGUCUGCGACCCUGCAGUUUUAAUCAGGGGGUGACAGCACAACCCAAUCUGGGUUGUUCCCUCAUCGUUCUUUUUUUUUUUUUUUGGUCUUUUGUCCUUUUAGGGCUGCACCCGUGGCACAUGGAGGAGUUCCCUCAUGGCUCAGCGGAUUAAGGGUCUGGCUUGUCAGUGCUAUGGCUCUGGUUGCUGCUAUCGCUCGGGUUCAAUUCCCGGCCCAGGAACUUCUGUGUGCCAUGGGUGAGGCCAAAUAAUAAUAAAUAAUGAUAAUUUUAAAAUAUUUAGACACAAUCAAAUGCAGAACACUUCGUGACACGUGACAGGCAGGAUAACGUACCUAAGACGUAGGUCUGUCCGAGGGAUUGAAUUAAUAAAACCGUACUCACAGGCCACCACGUGAACUGCAAGGGAGUAUAUUCCAAACCACACCUGACUGGAGAGCUAAUGGUAACAACACACAGAAGCGAAUCUGAUGGGGCGGGGAGAAACUGCAUGUCAUUUCAAACUACAGAGUAGAUUUAUAAAAAAAAAAAGAUUCAAGCUUCUCUCUUCUCAGAGUCAGAAGUAACAGCUUAGGUUUUCCUGAAGAACAGCAGUAAUACAACAGACGGAGAAUGACCACUUUUCUCACGUUCAGAAUCCUUUUUUUUUGCUUUUUUAGAGCCGCACCCAUGGCAUGUGGAGGUUCCCAAGCUAGGGGUCCAAUCAGAGCUGCAGCUGCCGGCCUCCACCACAGCCACAGCAACGCCAGAUGGGAGCCGCGUCCGCGACCUACCCUGCAGCAGCUCAUGGCAACCCUGGAUCCUUAACUCACCGAGCGAGGUCAGGGAUCGAACCUGCAACCUCAUGGUUCCUAGUCAGAUUCAUUUCUGCUGCGCCACGACAGGAACUCCUCACUUUCAGAAUUCAACUAUGCUUUUUACCUCCUGGGUUACAAGAUCUACACCGCAGUUCACCGUCCUAAGCCUCAAACAAAAGCCCAAAUUCCAACUUCCUGCUGCCCUCACUAAAGAGGAUUAUUCUCAUUGCACCACACACGUCUAAUACCCGCGAUCAAACGCUCUAAUUCUUAACACAAUCCAGCAGGAAACUGCUACUACUGAGCUCCACUUAGGAGGAAAAACAGCAACAUUUUUGGCACUGGCACAGAACUAAGGAAAAAAUCUAUGAAACUGACAAAACCGAACCUCAACACCCUUGCAAUGGAGUAACCAUUACAGCGGAGCGCCACGUCUGAAGAAGAGCCACCGUCCUUGGACUGAGGGGUAAGGGCAAAGGGAGUAGAGGAAAGUGUCCACAAAGGCCGUGGGUCAGGACAGUGACAUGAGGCGGUGCAAAUGUGGCUCAGCCCAGAGGCCACGCGCCGGCGGUGCGCGUGCAGCAUGCGGCCCCAGCAGAGCACGGGCACGUGGUCCCACCCCUCGCCCCUCGGAGUAGCCUGUCCGUGUCUGGGGCAACAGUGGAGACCCGUUCCUCAGAACUAGACUGAGCUCUAGUCCCACUGAGAUGGUCCCGGCACAGGACCUUGUCACAUCGGCCUGACCUCUAGGGUCUGCUUCCAAAUAAUGUGCCACCCAAAUGACGCUUUCCAGAGAAAAGAAAAUCAUGGACAUGGAGAAGAAACUCGGAGCGGGAGGGACUGGGAGUCUGGGGUUGACAGAUGCAAACGACUGCCUUUGGAGUGGACAAGCAAUGAGGGCCUGCCGUACAGCACUGGGAACGGCAUCUAGUCCCUUGUGACGGAGCAUGAUCAUGUGAGAACAAGAAUGUAUACAGGUAUGUGUGAUUGGGUCACCUCGCUGCACAGGAGAAAACUGACAGAACACUGUAAACCGGCUAUAAUGGGAAAAAUAAAAAUCAUUAUAAAAAUUAAAAAAAAAAUAAUGUGCCAUCUCUGUCUCUCUUAACAAAGCACCACAGAGCAGGCAGCUAAGGAUCCAGUGGUGUCACUGCAGCAGCCUAGGUGGCUGCUGUGGCAUGGGUUCAAUCCCCAACCCAAGAACUUCCACAUACGACAGGCGCAGCCAAAAAACACAAAAAAGAAAGAAAGCGUAGUUCCCGUUGCGGCUCAGUGAGUUAGGGACCCAAUGUUGUCUCUGUGAGGAUGGGGGUUCGAUCCCUGGCCUCGCUCAGUAGGUUAAGGAUCUGGUGUUACUGUGAGCUUCAGUGUAGGUUGCAGAUGCAGCUCGGAUCAGAUCCCACAUUGCUGCUACUGUGGUGUAGGCCUCACUCAGCUGCAGCUCCAAUUCAACCCCUAGCCUGGGAACUUCCAUAUGCCGCAGGUGCGGCCCUAAAACAGAAAAAAGAAAGAGCAAGCACCACUUCCGAAGGAGGAGCUAGUGAUGCAAGCGUGACGGCCGCUGGAAGAACAAGGAAAAAGGCGGCCCUUUCCCCUCCCCACUUUCCUUGGAUGAGAAAACUGGAGGCCACCGCAUCCUCGGGACAGAGCCUCCGUGCCUGCCCAGUGCAACUCUCACAAGCGUCCCAUCUUAAUACAUCUAUUUCUUGCCUAAGCAAGCACCACAGAGCAGGCAGCGACGGCAACUCGUCUGUUCUGUCCGAGUCCUCGAGGCUGGAGUUCCGAGCCCAGGGUGUCGCGGGGCUGGGCUGUCCUCAGCCUGGGGACGGCCAUCUCCUCCCGGCUCCCCAACUGUCCUCGCCCCGAGUGCGCAGCCCUGGUGCCUCUUUGCCCAAACUGCCCUUCCUUUAAGGACAGCAGUCACGUGGGCUAGGGCCCACCCUAGUGCCCUCUUUUAUUUAUCCUUCGUCCCCUCUUUAGAGGCCUCUCCCCAAACACAGACGCCUCCCGAGGCGCUGGGGUCAGGGCUUCGCCACCGACCUCGGUGGGGCAGUGGGGGGCACAGCUCAGCGCAUGACCCCCAGGGAGCAGGUGCGGGUGAGGAAAACGUGUUCUGAGACGAGCUGCCCAGGCGCGGCCGUAUUUAACACUGGGGCGUGGGGCCGUCAUCAGAAGAUUUUCUUGGGAGUUCCCGUCGUGGCUCCGUAGUAAUGAACCCGACUGGCAUCCAUGAGGUUGGGGGUUCAAUCCCUGGCCUGGCUCAGUGGGUGAAAGUCCUGGUGUUGCCAUGAGCUGGGGUGUAGGUCACAGAUGCAGCUCCGAUCUCACGUUGCUGUGGCUGUGGUGUAGACCAGCAGAUGCAGCUCCGAUUUGACCCCUAACCUGGGAACUUCUACAUGCCGCGGGUGCGGCGCUAAAAAAAAAGAAAAAAAGCAAUUUAGGUUGUCACCAGCAGUUUAAAAAUAAAAACAGAAUUAAAAAAAAAAAAAAUCAGAGUGCAUUGCUUAUAGUGAGAAUUGUUUUUUUAAACUUUCAUCUCGGCCAUACAAACAUUUACACACACGCGUGUACCCCUGGAGAAGGUACAGCUGCCUGAGGGCUGGUCUAAUUCAAGCUCCCAGCUCCUCACAGGCACUAGAGCUAAGGGAUGAUUUGCUAGUUACGUGAGCUGACACCCAGGGUCCAUGGUCUAGAGGAGUUUUCUUUUCCCCACUCUGUAUAUGGAAACUUCAAGAAUUCACCAAAGUAAAAAGAAUAAUGAAUAGCCAAAGCAUUCAGCUAUGCCCCACUUUUUUUUUUCCAGCAUGAGUAAAAAGCAAAUCUCAGAAGUCACAUUAUUUCACCUCCUAAUGUCUCAGUCUACACGUCUAUCAGAUUAGAACCAGACAAAACAUAAGUAAUAUACCCAACAAAACUAAUAAUAACUCAUUAUCACUUAUACCCAGUCCUACAUUUCUGGGUACUUUCUAACCGUUUUCAUUUAAAAAUACAAAUAGGAGUUCGCAUCGUGGGGCAGUGGUUAACGAAUCCAACUAGGAACCAUGAGGUUGUGGGUUCGAUCCCUGCCCUUGCUCAGUGGGUUAACGAUUCGGCGUUCCUGUGAGCUGUGGUGUAGGCUGGCAGCUGUAGCUCCGAUUAGACCCCUAGCCUGGGAACCUCCAUAUGCCACGGGUGUGGCCCUAAAAAAAUAAUAAUAAUAAUAAUAAAUAAAUAAAAAUACAAAUAAAAUAAAUCAACAAAAAAAGUAUUUAACUUUGUUCAGGUUGAAAUCAUGGCCACUGUGGUGUGACCUAUGACCCA
rnacentral:lncRNA from 1 species